AUUAUGUGAUUCUGAAAUUUUUUUAUAGAACAAAAUGCGUGACGUUUUAUAGCUGACUAUGUUUUUAAGUUUCGCGAACGAAACUUUUCUAAGGGGGUAAGUAUGUAAUAUCCUAAAAACUUAACCAAGUUUAAUGAAUUAAUUAGUUAUAAUUAAUCACUAAUUUGACUAAGAGUUAAAAUUUUCCUUCUAUUAUGUUAAACAUAAAUUACUAGACUUUGUAAAAAGAGGUAAUUCUAUCCUUUUGUUUAACCAGAAAAUAUUAGACUUAUAUUUAACUAUCACCCAACUAGGUGGUUGAAAGUUGAAACAAUGACCAUUUUCUGAUUUCAUAAAUAAUUAAAGGAAAUUUAUUAUAGAGGUUGACUCCUUUCUUCCUCCUUCUUCAUUCCUUCACUUUCAUGGCAAACACAUGGCAAACAUGCCCAACUGGCUCAGCUUUUUCUCUACCCAAGCCACUCACACCUUCAUCUAAGUCAACAUUUCACUAAACAUAUUAUUCAAUUCCAUAACUCAAUGGUUUACAUCCACAAUUUUGGUCAAAAACCACCCAACAGAGCUCAUGGUUUUUGAGCUCCAACAAUGGCUAUAAAUACACAAUCUCGUUGCUCAAACACACCACACAGAUCAACAUUACUCCAAUUAGAAUUACCUCAAAUCUAAUCAAGAAACAAAAGGGGAGAAGAAGAAAGUUAAAAAGGCCAAAAUUCGUAAAGGCUAUUUCGCACACCAACACCACCAUGGCACCACCACUACACCACGACGCUUGACCCCCAUUCAACAGUCAACACUACUCGCCCCUCCUACCACCGUCAUUCGCUGAACCACCACCGCACCAGCCACGCCAGCACCCACCCUCUCUCUCUCUCUCUUCCUCGCACUCUUCUUCUUUCUCGCUCAUCCUCGCGCCUUGCUGUACCACGCCACUGGAGGUUGCCGCGCUUAGUCGCGCCCCCACCUCACCGUUGUCGCCGGUCAUCUGCGCACGCCGGAGCUCCGUCGCGCCAGCAUCCGCGCGCUCGCGUUCUCUCUCUCUCUCUUCCUUUCGCCCUCCUCUUCGUCGCGCCUGCUGCACGCGCAGCACCACCGAGAUCCCCGCCAUCUCUUCGUCCCUCCCUUCGCCGCUUGUCGCCGCCGGAACCGUCCUCCUGCUGCAGAUUGUCAUCCCUGCUCUAAGAAGCAGAGAUAAAAGAAGAUAAAGGAUAUUACAAGCCUCCCCCGGCUAUCAUGGUUGGUAAGCAGGAAUUCAGGUAUGGGAGAACAGUUGUGGAUCUAUUAUACUGCGUUAUGGAGAUUAUGUAUGAUCUAUGAGGUUUUAGGAUAUUUUGUAUGAUGGAUAAAAAAAAGAAUAAUUUUACGAUGAGUAA